GCCAGGCGCGGUGGUGCGUGUGUGUAGUCCCAGCUACUCAGAAGGCUGAGCCUGGAGAAUCGCUUGAGCCCAGGAGUUCUGGGCUGUAGUGUGCUAUGCUGAUCGGGUGUCCGCACUAAGUUUGGCAUCAAUAUGGUGACCUCCAGGGAGCGGGGAACCACCAGGUUGCCUAAGGAGGGGUGAACCGGCCCAGCAGAAACGGAGCAGGUCAAAACUCCUAUGCCGAUCAGUAGUGGGAUUGCACCUGUGAAUAGCCACCACACUCCAGCCUGGGCAACAUAGCGAGACCCUGUCUCU
rnacentral:SRP_RNA from 1 species